GUCAUAUCACAUUGAAACACCGGUUCUCGUACGAUCAUCGGAGUUAAGAAACGUCGAGCCUGGUCAGUACCUAGAUGGGUGACUGCUUGGGAGUACU